UAUAGAUAACCUGUGCCUGCUUGUCAUGAGUUCACAAACUCCUUGACGUGAAGAACUUUUCCAGAUCUACGUGAGAUCAGUUUCCAGGACACUUUCCUGAACAAGAAAAAUCGCUAUUUGCUGUCUUUGGUGGGCUACCGUUUUGUACUUCCAAACCACCAGUGAUGGAGCAAGAAUCGGCUGUUCAUGUCCAAAAGUGCUGGAGAUAGGAGGAUAAAGCAAAAG